GAACAACUUUAUUUUUGCGGCCUCAAUAUUUCGCAAAUUUGGAGAAUAUUUCAUGCGCAGAAAAUUUUGCGAGGAGUGAACGAGGCUGGUGUGCUGCAGUAAUCAAAUGACAGAUGAAGAAAUAAACUUCAACAUAUCGACUGACCUCACUGAAGUGAGCGCCGCUAUCCUUCAGCAUCCCGCUCCACUCCCGGCUGUUCGAUGAAACCAUGGCCUGCCUUGCGGCUCCUG